rnacentral:rRNA from 1 species
UGGGGAAUUUUGGACAAUGGGCGAAAGCCUGAUCCAGCAAUGCCGCGUGUGUGAAGAAGGCCUUCGGGUUGUAAAGCACUUUUGUCCGGAAAGAAAUCCUUGGCUCUAAUACAGUCGGGGGAUGACGGUACCGGAAGAAUAAGCACCGGCUAACUACGUGCCAGCAGCCGCGGUAAUACGUAGGGUGCAAGCGUUAAUCGGAAUUACUGGACGUAAAGCGUGCGCAGGCGGUUUGCUAAGACCGAUGUGAAAUCCCCGGGCUCAACCUGGGAACUGCAUUGGUGACUGGCAGGCUAGAGUAUGGCAGAGGGGGGUAGAAUUCCACGUGUAGCAGUGAAAUGCGUAGAGAUGUGGAGGAAUACCGAUGGCGAAGGCAGCCCCCUGGGCCAAUACUGACGCUCAUGCACGAAAGCGUGGGGAGCAAACAGGAUUAGAUACCCUGGUAGUCCACGCCCUAAACGAUGUCAACUAGUUGUUGGGGAUUCAUUUCCUUAGUAACGUAGCUAACGCGUGAAGUUGACCGCCUGGGGGAGUACGGUCGCAAGAUUAAAACUUAAAGGAAUUGACGGGGUCAUAGCUGUUUCCU